GACGAACGCUGGCGGCGUGCUUAACACAUGCAAGUCGAACGGAAAGUCCCUGCUUUUGUGGGGUGCUCGAGUGGCGAACGGGUGAGUAACACGUGAGUAACCUGCCCUUGACUUUGGGAUAACUUCAGGAAACUGGGGCUAAUACCGGAUAGGAGCUCCUGCUGCAUGGUGGGGGUUGGAAAGUUUCGGCGGUUGGGGAUGGACUCGCGGCUUAUCAGCUUGUUGGUGGGGUAGUGGCUUACCAAGGCUUUGACGGGUAGCCGGCCUGAGAGGGUGACCGGCCACAUUGGGACUGAGAUACGGCCCAGACUCCUACGGGAGGCAGCAGUGGGGAAUAUUGCACAAUGGGCGGAAGCCUGAUGCAGCAACGCCGCGUGCGGGUUGACGGCCUUCGGGUUGUAAACCGCUUUCGCCUGUGACGAAGCGUGAGUGACGGUAAUGGGUAAAGAAGCACCGGCUAACUACGUG
rnacentral:rRNA from 1 species